rnacentral:rRNA from 1 species
UACAGAGGUCUCAAGCGUUGUUCGGAUUCAUUGGGCGUAAAGGGUGCGUAGGUGGCGGGGUAAGUCAGGUGUGAAAUCUCGGGGCUCAACCCCGAAACUGCACUUGAUACUGCCUUGCUCGAGUACUGGAGAGGAGAUUGGAAUUUACGGUGUAGCAGUGAAAUGCGUAGAUAUCAGGAGGAACACCGGUGGCGAAGGCGGCAUCCUGGACCGACACUGACGCUGAGGAGCGAAAGCCAGGGGAGCAAACGGG